UAGAAUCCAGCUGCAUGCUUUAAGGAAGUCCUGGCUAGCCAGUGGGAGUGUGGAGAUGCCUGGGAGAAUGAGACAGCUCAUGGAGAAGAACAGAGGUGCCCAGUUGAGCCCCCAGCUGAAUGCAGCCACGUGAGUAACACCAUGUGGAGCAGAAGAAUCUCCCAACCAAUCCACAGGAUCUUGAAAAAUAAUAAAUCAAGGCAAAUUUUCUGUUGGCAACGUUGCUUCUUGGACUCAUAGUUCAACAUUUCCCAGUGUUCCAGAAGAACGCCCUGGCUACCACCAGGGCUGAACUAGUCUAGGAUGCUCUGCAGAAGCACAUCAGGUCACUCAGCCAUUCCAGACUCAACCGUUUCUGAAAAGCAAAAAGGAGUGAUGCUCGUGUGGUCCCCACAAGGGAGCCUGAACCUCCACAGACAGACCAGAUGCCUGGCUGGCUGCCAAGAGAUCCAUGCACCCCGAGGGCUCACCCUUUCUCUGCAUUCCUCCAAGAAGAAGAACAGCCUGAACAAGGCAAACGUGAGGAUUUGUGGUAGCCUCGGUCUGGGACCUCAAAGAUGAAUGCAUUUUACCUUCAGCAGCAAACACCAGAACUACUGGGGAGCACCUCAAAAUACACAUGUCCAGAGCAGCAUCCUGGGAACCUCUGAGUUGAUUGAUCAAGAUUGGAGGCCAGGUUCGUGUUCUUCACAAGAGUUCCCCUGGUGGUUCUGAUGUGAAACCCUGGCUAAGAACACUAAGUCAGACGUUUCAGUUUAAAAAUCUUCACUGCUUACCCUCAUGAGAUGUGGGCAUAGAAAAGUGGUAUUACAGAGAAUUUGAAACCACACUGAGCUCAGUGAUUUCCUUCUUGGUAGAGAGGUCAGUGGGCAAAAUAGUGCUUUUUGCUACCCAGGAGGCUCUUUUUCAGUCAGAAGCACCUGAUGCUUUGUCUAAAGCUAAGGUGAGGCAGGUUCCCAGGGCUAGAGGUGAGGUCUAAUGGAUAACCCACAAGCAGGGUGAGAUUGUGCACCAGGGAACUUUGUAGGUUCCCCAACGUGUGCUGUGUGUGGCAGUGAUGAUUUGGCCCGGGAAAUGUAAACACUUCAUGCAUGCUCAGAGUUUGGGCCACCUGGGUUAGCGAUUGUCUGUGCUCUGAACUGGGGAAAGCAAGCACCCCAUGGAGAGUUUGAACAAGGGGUCUUGACCAACACGUGACUAGCUGAGCAAGGCUCCUCUCCAGAUAAUGCUUCCCUCCAGGUAGGCUGUGCAAACACUUCAAAAAUGGGUAAGACCCUCCAUACCUUCACUUUUGGUAUUUCACCAGGAAAAUGUGGGCUUAAAUUUGCUCAUUAAAAAACUGAAAAUUUCCAUCAGGUUUUCAAAAUCCAUGCUUUUCAGUAGAGGUUUUUAGAAUUCAGAACUUAAUUUUUGCCUGGUUGUAUAAGUAAUACACAAUCCAUUUAAAAAUUUGGAAAAUACAUUAAAGUAUAGGAAAUGAGAAAAAUUAUUCAUAACUGAUAUGAACACUUUGGAUUAUCUCUUGAAAUUUUCUCCAAGCAUUUAAAAAAUUAAUAGACUUUAUUUUUUUAGAACAGUUUUAAAUUUACAGAAAGAUUGAGUGGAUUGUACGGAGAAUUCCCAUAUAACUCCCCUCUGCACCCACACACAUACCUGUUUUCCCUAUUAUGAAUAUCUUGCAUUAGUGUAGCACAUUUGAUACAUUAUUAUGAAGUAAUAUUGAUACAUUAACUAAUGAACCAAUGAACUAAUAUUGAUACAUUAUUAUGAACCAAAGUCCAUGGUUUAUAUAGAUAUUCACCCUUUGUGUUGUACAUCUCUAUGGGUUUUGACAAAUGCAGAAUGUCGUGCAUCCACCAGUACUGUAUCAAACAAUAGUUUGACCACCUUAAACCUUUGCUUCUCUUGUCGCUGAUCCCUACCAUCCUCCACUUUCCUUCACCCCUGUUCCAAAU